AUGGCUCAGUGGUUAGAGUGUUGGCCUGCACACCUGAGGUUCUGGGUUCGAUUCCCAGU
rnacentral:tRNA from 1 species